rnacentral:ncRNA from 2 species
AAUUUAGUUUACCUCCGAGCCUUCCUGGCCUAAGGGAAGCCUCCUAUGGCAGGUUGGCCCGGGCUUUUUAAGCCCGCGGGGUAUAGCAGGGAAACCGCUAUGCCUUCCGUUUCGAAAAGGAGGAUUAAAGGGGUGAAA